UGGAAGCAGUAGGAUUGUGCGCAGAAAACUUUCUAAGUUGGAUUGGGCAUGGAUCUAAGAAACAACCCAGUUAAUACUACUGAUUUUAGGCACCCGUCCUCCUCACCGGCUUCCCAGGCUAAAAUGACUUUACAACAAAAAUAAGAGAUACAUUCAUUCAGCAUGGACUUCCAGCUUGGAAUUGCACUUGUAUUAUUUGUGCAGUGUUCACUGGCACGUGAUAAGGAUUAGUGAAUAUCCGAUGAAGGAAUGAAUUUAUUCCUCACAGCAACCCUACAGCAUCCCCAACUGACAGGAGACAGACGCUCUGAGAGCUGGGCAGCCCUCUCUCUCCAACCUUCCAUGAUGAUAAUGAACUUCUGGUAGCCAUUGACCAAGAAAAUAUCAACGACAAAAGGACAUCAGGAAUUCAGUACAACUUUGAAAUGGACUUACAUUUAAUUGAGCACAACUGCAUCCAAAUGCUUUUGGAAAACACACGCACAUGUCUGAGACAUUAUCCCACCAGCACGUUUAUGAACACUCAAGCCCAGCAUUGUGCUGAGAGAAAGCAGCCUGCUCUCAAAUGAACAAUUAACUCGAAGAGUAUUGCCUACCAACAGAUACCUUUCUGGAGGAGCUUAUUACAAAGGAAGCACUUAAAAAUUUAAAAUACUUAGAGGCAAUAUGGAUGUCUUUGAUUCCAGAAAACUCCUUGUGUUUCUUUGCAAGGCUUCUCCUGAAAUCUCUGCCCUGAUUUUGAUAGAAGAGCAGUCUGGGAAACAAAUUACCCAAGUGAAAAAGGAGAGAAAUGAUGCUACAGCUGCUUUAGACGAAUUUGAUUUUCUUUCCUGUUUUGUGGCUGUCUUGAUAUUUCUGAUUUCAGUUACUUCUGUCGAACUAAAACCGUUGGGUGAACUGGAUUCGCCCGAUUCUAGACAGGGCCUUCACCAUAGUUUGGUCCAGACUCUCAGUUUUGUAGCUAUAAAAGCUGAGGUACAGUGAUGCGGUGUGCCAUGUCACAGGUCCUUCUACUCCAUAACAUCACACACACCACGGUGCAACACCUGCAAAUUAACUUCUUGAACAGAGAUUCAACCUGUGUGAAACACAGGUGUGACUUCUUAGUCUCCCUGUCUGUCCCUCUUCAUGUAGACACAUGUCAGCUGCUGGGAUAUUUCAUCUGGAGUGAGGGCCUGGGUGAGAUCUGGGGCUUUGGAGUGGGUAGAUGUGGCCUGGCAUGCAGUCGGGCCAUGCGCCCUGAGAUGGGUACCAGACGUACAGUGUGAUAAAGAACACAUGCUCUGGAGCCUGACUGCCCGAAUGUCCUGGUCCUGACACUUAAUAACUGUGUGACCUUGGCAAGCUACUUAUCCUUUCUUGUGUCUCAGUUUGUUCAUCUGGAAAGUGGGGAUGAUGGUGGUACCUCUUUCCCAUGACCGUGGUGAAGAUUAAAUAGAUUAAUACACGGGAAGUGCCUAGAAGUGUGCUGGACAGAUGAUAGACACUUGGUAAAGGCUAUUGUUAUUAUUAUUACUGUACAUUAUGAUUACGUUGUCUUCACCUGUACAGCAAUAGCCGUGUCACAGGAUUGCAGAACGUAAGUGAAAUUGUGACUGAUUUAAGACGCGGGAUGAAUGCAUUAGCAGUGUGCCUUCGGCAAGAUGCUGCACCUCUUGGGCCCUUUCUAGCUCCUCUUAAGUAAUGUUGCGCAGUCAUGGACUAAUUGCUCUUGCCAUAGGGUGACCAAAUUGUCCUGAUUUGUCCUGGACUUUGCUGGUUUUAGCAUGGAAAGUUCCAUGUCCUGGGAAACCCCUGAUCCAGGUAGACUGGGAUGGUGGUUACCCUGGGCCUCUGUGACCCUUGGGCCUUGAUGUGCCCUGUCCGGUGCCCCUCAUCCCACAUUAUCAUUGGGGAGUGGAUUGGGGUGUGUGUCACAGAUAUUAUUGAUUGUUGAUGCCAGUUCAUCUUCCCUCGUCACCUCCUUCCUUGCUGGCAGGGUCCUGAUUUUAUUCUUUUGUUCACUGAGUGGCCCUGUGCCCAGAAAAGGUGAUGAUAACCCCAGUUCACCAAGGUGGGGAUGGAUCUUGAUUAAUCUAAGCCAAGCUUGCAGUUCUAGUCUCCUUACCAGGGCCUGAGUUAGCAGGGGAAGGUGGAGUGCACUGAUGCGGUACUACUAGUUGUUAAAACAUUGACUUGCUCUGUCAUGGUUGGUAAAGAGAUGUUGCCCAAGUGUGUCAUCUUCUGCCCCAGGAUUCCUGGGCUAAACCUCCCCCACUCAACUCCUAAAGGGUUAAUGUCUAACACCACUGGGGGCUUCCUGGACCCUGGCUCCAGGCCUCCUGCUUUGUUGGCUCGGUGUCCUUGCCUUUGUGUCUGUUGUUUAUUUUGUAGAAUAUCUUGCCUGCAUGUGAUCUAAUUCUGGGGACAGCUCCAUUCACUUUCCUAGGGUCAGUGGUCCUGGUGGCAUCUACCAGGGUCUGGGGUCGUGGUGUAGUCUCAGUGUUGGUGUCCACAGCGGCAGAUACAGUGGUUCUGUGCCUGGCUGGUUCUGUAGUGUGACUCUGGGCACAGCCUCUAAACCUCACAGUGCUCUGGUAUUUCAGGAGAUACAACCUUCUAAUAAAUUCCUUUUCUGCUUAAAUCACUAGGCUGGUUAGCUUUUGCAUGUACCAUGCCGCCCAAAACUUAGUGCUGUAAAACAAUAACAUUUGUCUAGCCGUGGGUCAUCAGCCUGGGCCUGGCUCAGCUGGGUUCAUCCGUGUGUCUGCCGUCAGCUGCUGGUUGGCUGGCACUGGCUGAUCUGGGGUAACCUCAGCUGGGAUGGCACAUUUCUACUCCAUGUGACGUAUCCUCAUCCAGCAGACAAACCCGCACUUGAUCACGCAGUGAUCACAGAGUGAUCACAUAGUGGUGGCAGCCUUCCAAGGGAAGGAGUGGAAGUAUACAAGGCCCCCUGAGACCCGGAACUGGCACAGUGUCACUUCUGCCCCAUUUUGUUGGUAGAAGUAAGUCACAAACCCAGACCGGAUUCAAGAGCUGGAGAAAUAGGUUCUGCCUUUUGAUAGUGUGAGUGUAGCUAUAGGGAGGGGAGUAACCGGAGACAUUUUUGCCGAUUCCCACUGUCAUCCAGAGCUUGGAUUUGGUGCUCUAGCUGGCACAAUAAGGUGAAAGAUCAGGGCAAGGAAGAUGGAAGGAGGCCCCAUCUCCUCAAUAGACUGAGGAAUACUAUGGGAGAACCAGGGCGGUUCUGUCUAAGCUGCCCCAAUUCUAGGAGCGCAGACCUGGUUUGAGGGAAAUGCAUGUGAGGAAGGCGAUGAAAUGCUGUCAGGCUCUACUUAGAUUUCCUUGAAGUUAGAUGUGGUGGUUCAUGGUUCAUCCACAUUCUGCUCCCCUACCCUGGGAAUCAGCAUUGUUCUAGAUGACGGUUUCUCCAUCAACCCCCUUCCCAGAAAAAAGAGCAAAUGCUCUCUUCCCAUUCUUCUCCCCACUGUGGACAUGUAGUAUGAACGAGAACUAAACUUAUGUUGUUUUAAGCCUCUGGGAUUUGGGGUUGUUUGUUACUGCAUCAUCAACUAUGCUAUCCUGACUGAUACAGUA